AAUAAGGGUCUUUUUUGGUUUUGUAGGGGAAAUAGAAUGGUGAAGGGUGAAGGGUGAAGGGUGAAGGGGGGGUUUUGUUUUGUGUAAAUUUAAAUGUGUAUUUGUGUUUAAAAGAAAAUUGGUUGCUUUUGUGGGCAAAGUAUUCGGAUUUGAGAGGGAAAUAUUGAAUUCCAUUUAAGGAAAGUGAUUGGGUUCCGUUUUGGUGCAUUAGUCAAUUUUCAAAAUUCCAAAAAUUAAAGUUGAUUGAAGGAGAGAGAUAUUGUGAGAAUUAAAACCCAUUCCCCAUUGGGACACAAUUUGACAUCACACUUCAUUUCCACCAUUAUUAGUUCUUUUUUUCUUUUAAGAAGUUCUUUUUUCAAUAUUUCAUUUCAAUAUUUUAUUGGGCGAGAGAAUAAUCAUUAAGGUUAAUGACAACUGUCUCUGUUAAUACGACAUAUUUUGGGAUAAAACUAAAAGCAAAGUUAUGUAGGUGUAUAUUCAAAGUAGACAAUAUCAUAUCAUUAUGGACAUGUGAAUGAGUUAUCUAGAAAACGUGUCCUUUCCUUUAUCAUAAGAACUUAAUUAUCCAUGUUGAACUCUUUUUCGUUGCUUAUAUAUAUUUAUCCUUAAAAACACAUGCUCUCAUAUAUUCUUAAUAGAUAAGAUUUCACUAAAGAACUAAAAAUGAAACUAAUUAUAAAAACAAUAAACAUUCCACUUUGUUAAAGAGAUGUCAAGAACAAUGAGACUAAUAAUGAUAAUUAAAGAAAAAUGUUCAUAUUAAACAAAGGGUAUAGGGAAGUGAUCAUAACUUAAUCUCAAAGCUUCCUCUUCCCCAUUCAUGCAUAACACUUUUCAUUCCACACUAUUAAUUGAGUAAUCCUAUUGAUUAGGAAAUAAACAAUCACAAUAUGAAAGUUAAGCUCAAUGGAGUCCAAACCAAGUUAUAAACCUAAUCAUGUCAUGAGGGCAAUUAUUAUGCUGCAAGUUUCAAUGACGGGUUACAAACAAAAUAAUUAAAAGACUACGUAUCAAUUAUAUUGUGGAAUGCUCACUUUGAAGCUAAGUUAUCUAUCAAAGUUUAAGAGUCCAAUUCAUAUUCAAGUUUGAUACGGCAAUUCAGAGUAUUGUUCAUAUUAACGGAAGUCAAUUAUUCAAAUUCUAAUAAUCUAACUUCAUUCACUUUUUUAAAUGUUUUACUUAAUUUAAUUUGUAUAUUUUUCAUUCACGAAGGUUCACAUAUGAAAUAGAAAAUUUUGUUGGAAUUUUUUGUCCUAAAACUCGUAGUUUGUAAAUCAUAUUCUAUUCAAUAAAGUUGUUAUUGAGAAAUUAAAAUAUUAUAAUCUUAAAUCCAAUAAAUCAAAGUUCCAAGGCUAUUUUUUGAAUAAACUUGAACUUUAUGUGUAAACAUAAACGUGGAUCAAGUUCGAGUAUAUAGCCUAAAUAGUCUAUAGUAUAUGAAAUAAAGGUUGGGCGCCUUAUUUUGAGAGACUAUGGAUGCGGCCCACUUUGUAGUACAAACGAUGUGAUCCUAAUCGUUCAUGUAGAGACAUGAAAGUGGGGGCAUCCUAUGUAAAAUGUUUACAUAAGACUGAACCAUGAAUUAGUCAUUUUUACGUUAUAACACCGUUUACUGUUUAAAACUGACUAUCUCAAUUAUUGAUGACCUAGGUAACUUAGUCUUAAUCCUGAGUUAACUAUGAACUCCUGUUCAUACGAGAUUAUCUUUAGAUCUGCAUAGGUGAGGGCAGCUCAUCAGCGUUGGCCCAAUAAGCCUCCCAUUUCAGGGGUAAGAUCGGGUGGAUAGCUGGGAACAUAGGGUACAAGAUGGAAUUCACUCCUACCCGCUUUAGGGUUAGUAGAUAGGUUGCUCUCUUAAGCACUGAAUCCAAGUCUUGAACAAGGGGCCCCACCCUCUCAUUGGCCCGAGAGGGAUUAAGUUUAUAGGUUGAACCUUAAACCAAUUGUUCAAUAGUGGAUUAGUGGGACUUAAGGAGCAAGAUGUAAUCCUGGGGGUAAAACGGUAUUUUGACCCAGCCAAGGUUACGAGCAACCUGUGAAGGAUUAACUUACUGAUUAUGGUUUUAUCAAAUGGACACAAAUAUAUCUAUAGUGAGGGGAGUGCAACUACGGGACUUUAGUGGAAUGACCCGUUAGUUAACGAAUGUUGAUUAACUCGGUUUAAAAGAGUUUAGCUAGUUAAUCUUGAAUCGUUGGAGCCCAUGAUCUAUAGGUCCAUUAGGUUCCUCUGCUAGCUCAUAUGGAUUAAACUUAGAACAGUGUGAUGAAAUAAGUCGAAUUGUUCGAAUAGGGAGAAGAAAGGAAAACCGACAUAUACAGUGAUAUAAUCGUCGGUCUUCUAAUUAGAAAUAGAGCUUUAUGUUUUACAUACUAUAAGUAUGAAUGCGGAUUCAUACUAAGAAGCUCGGAAUUGGUCAAAAAUAGUAAAAAGUCAAAAUGUUGACUUUUGACUUUGAAAAGUCAAACUUUGACCGGCCUUAUAUUCAAAUGUGAUUUGAAUUUUGGAAAAAUGAAUGCGGAUUCAUGCUCGGGAGGUUGGAAUUAGUCAAGACGGACAAAAUGGUAAAAAGUCAAAAUAUUGACUUUUGACUUAGAAAAGUCAAAGUUUGACUUUUGACUAGAAAAAUCUAAUGACCAUUUUACCCUUGGACUAAGUUAGUGGGAAAAUCCAACAUUUUGUUGGAUAAUCCCACUAACUCUUAGUGGGAUAUGUGGCUAUAUGAGAUAUAGACACCUAGCCCACUAAGUUCCACUAAUUGUUAGUGGAAUAUUAGGUGUUGAGAUUUGGCAAUUGAAUUGCAUGCAUUUUUGCAUGUAAUUAGGCUAUAAAUAGAGAUGUUUUCAAAUGUUGAAGGACUUUUGCCUCUUUUAUCAUUUUCAUAAUCUCAACAAAAGAAAAAAAAAAAAGCUUCCAAUCUCAUUUUAUCUCCACUACUUUCUACACCAAAAUUGGGUCCCACAACCCGGUUCUUUGUCUAGAGGAUAGCAGUUGAGUACUAGUGGUGGUCUCGGGUAGAAUUGGUAAGAAGACAUCAAACCUUUUGAAAGCUUCAAAGGUAAUACUUCUUAAAACCCUAAUUUGAUUAGUUUAUGGUUACAUGUUAAUUGUGGCAAUUAGGGUAGAAAUUCGAUUCUUUUUCCGCUGUGCAUGACUUAGUUCUAUCAAAUUUCAUAUUGAACUUUAAUCUCUUUCGAACUUUAUAGUCUUUUUCUUCCUUCACUUUCAAUUUUAGUAUGAUCUAUUAGAUCGUUAAAAUUUCAAAGUUUAACUUAAUAAAAUUGUUAAAUGAUAUAUAACAUUCAAUUUACGAAUAUGUUAACUUAAACUUUUAAGUCAAUUUAUGAUUAACAAGUUCUCAUUUCUCAUUGAUGAUUGAUCAUAUUUCUAAAUAAAAUGUACAAUUGUGUCGUGAUCUUAUUAUUUUAGAUAUUCUUCUCAUUGGUGUGGAGAUUCGCUUAGAAUAAGAGAUAUAUAGGGUGUGUUUGGUUGAGAUUCUAAAGUGAUUAAUUUUGCCAAAAAAACUAUUUUGAAAAAAAUGGUAGUGUUUGGCAAAUUAAAAUAAUGUAUUUUUUAAAAAUUCAUUUAUAAAAUAAUGUAUUUUAAAGAAAUCUUUAAAAACCAAAAUCAUAUAUAAACAAUUAUAAAAAAAAUCUAACCAAACAUUAAAUGUUUAAAUUUUAAACUCAUUUUCGAAAAAGUAUUUAAAAUGAAAUGUAUUAUUGAAAAACAUUAUGUUUUUAAUUCAAUCAAAACGGACCCUUAAUCCAUAAUCAACACAACACUUCAUUGAAUCUUCUUUCCAACAAAAUAAAUAACAAAAAUUUGUAAGUUUUUGUCUUAAAUAAUUAACUUUUUAUUAUUAUUAUAAUCCUUUCCAAUUAUUUCUUUACUGAAUCUCUGAAAAUGCAACAAAACAAGAAAAAAACAUAUAUUUUUGGAAUUAACAAAUUGAACUACAAAUGAAAAAAAAUAAAUAAUACAAUUUCUCUAUGAAUUGAAUUUACUGUAAUAAUUUCAAAAACAUAUUUUACAUGAAGAAAAAAAAUAAUAUAAUUUAUUCUGUGUAUUUGAUUUAAUGUAAAAAAUUUCACUUUUGUAGUUGCUAACAAAAAAUAUUUAUACAAAAUGAACAAAAAGAAUUAAUGUAAAAUUUGGGUGUAUUUGAAUUAGGGUAUAACUAAAGAAAAUGAACUUGUGAUAGGAACAACAACAAAAUUCUACACAAAUGCAAAAAAUGUUCACAUUUUACAUUUUAUAUUGAAUUCAUAAAAAAAGAAAAAACAAGAAUUUCAUUUUUUAUUUUCACAAUUAUUUUGGUACACUUUUUUUACACAAAUGAAAAAAAAAAUACAAUCUUUUUAUCGUAAUCCUUCUUCCAAAUAAAUAUUAUAAAUAAUUCUCCAUAAUCUUCUCACAAACAAUAAUUAUAAUAAUAAUUUCCUUUUCAUAAACCCUCUCUUUAUUCCUUUCCUCCCAUCUUCCUUUCCUUUUCUCCCCCAAAAUAUUCUUCUAAAAGAGGAUUCUCAAAGAAUAUGUUUUCCGCCACGUCGGUUCCAUUCUCAGCCACCCUUCUUCUUCGCCACGUGUGCUUGAUUCGUUGGGCCUCCCUAAGGGCCCAAAUGUGUAGUCCGCCUCGACAGUAAGCCCAGAAUGAUGAAUCAAAAUCACAGUUUAUAUAAAAAUUGAAUUGAGAAAAUUAAUUAAUUGAAAAUCAUUAACAAUACUUACAAAAUAAAUCAUGGAAUUUAGGAGAGAUGAAUCUAUUCUGUUUUUCUAUACGGAAAUGAAUCAAUUUACUCUUGCCUAAUACCAAAUAUUGUGUGCAUUUUUAUUGGUUCCCCAUUCCAAAUUAUUCCAAAUUCAUUCCCUUUUUAAAAUCACUCCUUUACAUUUUUUAAAUAAGGAGAAAAUAUCUUUUCUUUUGAUUCACUUUAAAACCUCAAAUUUUCACUCACUUUUGUCUUUAGCUGCUGUUUAUUAAUUUUGUUUCACUACUUAAAUAAUAAAUGAUAAAUCUUACUUCGUAAUUAUUUUUAAAUAAUUAAUAGACACUAAUAGUAAUGAUUAAAAGUGAAAAUAAUAAUAAAUAAAAUAAACAAGGUUAAAAAAUAAAAUAACCAAGGUUUAAAAUGUAAUGAAAAAUUAAACAAAUAAAAUAACCAAAGUUAAAACGUAAAUCAUGGAGUCAAAUCGAUCAAAUUGAAACGAUACUGUAAAUUUGAAAAUUAAUCUCAAAACUUAAAAAAAAAAAGACUAAAUGUGUAAUAUUUUUUAAAUCAAAGGACCAAGCCUAACCCCAAACAUUUGCCAAAAUCAAGGAAGCACUUUCCUUUUUUUCUUAGAAAAAUGGUGUCAUUAGUUGAUACAAAUUUCAUUAAAAUUGUCUGGAAAAAUAAACAAAAAGAAUUUGAAUAUUCAGGAACCAUAGAAAUGUUUCAAAGUUUUGCAAGGAUGCAGUGAAAACAUCAGGCAUCAACUAAAGCUUAACUUGAAUCAAUGCAAGAAGUACACGUACUAACAUAAAUAUAUAACUAUAUAUAUACACACAUGCCCAUACCCUUACCUUGUGUUAUAUUAGAAUGAUGUCAAUAUAAUGAUAUUCCAAGUUGUCUGCUCUCUGUCCAUCAUCAGCCUUCUGACCUUUAGAGUUACCAACUCAAGAACUUGGAGAAUCAAACCUCCAAGCCAAUUCAAAGAAUCUAAUGCUGUGGGUCAGGUUUAUACUUUAUUAAAGUCAACUCUCGUAAGAAUCGAUUCAAAAAAGGUUCUAGAACUAGAUGGUCAAGACCAUGGCAAUGGAGGCAACAAACAGGGAAGAAGAUUUGGGGUCGAUGCAAAAAUGACCAAAAUGAAGAAGAGAAGGGGCUGAUGAGGAUGAAGGCGAUGAACGGCUACCAAAGAAAAGGAAGAGAAACCUGCGUAACAAAAGUUCUUCCACUGCAAAUUCUGAACUUGGAGCACAGAAGAAUAUUAUAUAUUCAUAGCCUAGAAAAUUAGCAUAAUAAUAGUACAAAAUAAUAGGCAUCUUAUCAUCACUCUUCUGAAUAUUUUAAGCACUGGACUCAGCUGAGAAGUUUGGUUAGUCCUAAAUAUUCAACCAAUGUCUUAAAAGGACUUCAAUUAACUCUAUCACUUCCAAGAGGACUUCACAAAAAUAGUAAUUAUAAAUAAGAGACUUCAAUUAACUCUAUCACUUCCAAGAGGACAGAAAGGGGGCCUCUAAAUAUUCAACCAAUGUCUUAAAAGGAUUAAAUUACCCGACAAAAAAAGACAUCACAAAAAUAGUAAUUAUAAAUAUAUAUAUAUAUAUAUACAAAUAAAUAUAUAUAUAUAUAUAUAUAUAUACACACACACGAAACUUUAAAAAGAUUAAAAAUGAUAAUAUUGACAAAAGUGAAGUAUAAAACACAAGGCUGGUGCCAAUCAGCAGGUCCUUACUACAUAAAACUAAAACGAGGGGUGGAAAGAAGAAAAGUAAAGGGAAAAAAGGAAAAAAAAGAAAAAGAAAGAAAAGGAAAAACGGUAAGAGGAAACGAAAAGGGUUUGUUGGAAAAGGUAUCAAAGCCAAAUUAGCCCAAAUGAAGCUCUUAACAUAAACUCUCCCAAAAGUACAGGAUCAUUCAUCCACAAGUUCAGCAGCACCUCAAACGCAAAUAUGGAUUCCCAAGCAUCUAAAAGAAAUAAGACAACGCAAACUAAUAAUCUGGCCUGUCAAAUGAAUACUCCCAUCAAAACAAUGAAGUUGAAGAUUCAAAUAAGAAAAAUGAAACAAGAAAUCAAAGAUAGAAAAAAAGAAAAAUAAAAUAAAAUAAUAAAAGUAAAAGACCAAAAACCAAAAACACAUCCGCAUUAUUAUUGUUGACUGAAAUACAACAAAAUCAACAAGUUCCCCAAACCCAUCUAAUCAGAAAAAGCAUAGCAAAAGAACGAUCAUCAAAAGAAAGUACAAAAACAAAUUCAGUGAAAUGUGCCAAAAAAAUCCAAAUUAAUAAUUGAGAAGGAUGGGAAAGUGACUAAGUCGGCAAUUAAAAGACUGAACCAAACUGGCUCAAAAUUAAAAGACAAGCACCAUCCGAUGGGAUAGAUUUCAGUAUUUGUGACCAUCAGGAAACAUAAUAAUUCAUAAAUAAAUAAAAUAAAAUUUUGAUGAAUUGUUUUCUGGUCGGUACAAGUCAAAAGAAAAACACAAUUUCAACCUGAUAACACUUUUCAAAUCAUUGGAAGACGAGGCAAAUUCUAUUGGAAAAUAAAUGAAAACAUGAUAAAAAAUCAAAUUAGGUGAGAAGAAGAUCUAAGAACACGAGUGAAACAAGGGAUAAGUUUCUUUCGAGUUUGCAUGGUGAAGCAAUUAGGGUAAAGAUGCUUUAAGCUUGAGGAUAGCUAUUAAGUCUUAGGAUGUGUUAGGCCUAUUUUGAAAAACAUUUCGUUUUUGAGAAUUAAAUUUGUAAACACUACUUCCUUCUACUUUGAGUUUUUUUAAAAUCAAGCCAUACUUUUUAAAUUUUACGAAAAAAGAUGUAGGCCCCAUUCAGUUACCAUUUCAGUUUAUGGUUUUUGUUUUUCUGUUUAUUAAAUUCCGUUUUUAAACUUUGGUUUAUUAAAAACAAAAACCAUAAAUAUUAGGUGACUGAUUUAAAAACAAAAUCCUUCUUUUUACAUUUUCAGUUUUCCUUCCUAACUUAAAAAACAAAUUUCUUGUUUUAAAAACAAACAAAGUGAAUUAGUUACCAAACACACCUAUUUUUUAAGAACUAAAAAUCAAAAACCAAAAACAGGAAAUGAAACAAGCCCGUAGUUUAAAAAAAAAUGAUUUUGUUUUUGAAAUCUGCCAUAGAAUAAAAAAAUAUAUAAAAUAUAAGUGAUGAAUCUCAUCUUGGAGAAUCUGAUUUCAAAGAAAUACUUCUGGGUAUAUUAUUCAAAAUUGAGAUGGAGGAGAGGAGCUUUAAAUUGGCCAACUUCCCAGUGCUCAAACGGCAACUUUUUUACAAAUCUAAAAUUCUAAUAUUAUUCAAAUUACAAGAUACUGACCCAGCUGUUAGCAAAGUAAAAAAUAAGUUGUAGUAGAGUUAGUGUUUGUGUUUGUAAUUACAUCAAUAAGAGAUGAAAACCAUAGAAAAGUAGUGAGAAAACAAACACAAUUUUCAAAAACUAAAUAGUCAUCAGAGGGGGGCUUUAUUGAUUUAGAUGGCUACAAGUGUUCUUUUCCUAAAACUUGCAAUAUUUGGUGACCAAUAAAAUUGAAAAUAAGUUGAUUUUAAUUUUUAACAAACACUUUAAAGUUUAUUAUAAAAAAUGUCAUUUCAAAAGGAUCAAUAAAGAAUCAGUUUGAGGUCGCUCGGCAUUUGGAUGUUUGCUUCUAGAUGUGCGUAUGUACAAUAAGGGUAAAAAAAGAAGGAAAGGAUAAAGAAGGUCAAACCAACCGAAAAAGAGCAAUGAAAAGACUCAAAAAAACACUUCGAAAAAGAGCUCCAACUGUUACUUAAAAGGAAAGGGAGGAAAAAGACUGAAAAAUUUAUUGGAAGAAAAUAAAGAAAUACAAGGGAGAGGCAUUAAUAGAGUCCCCUUUGAACAUCCUUCCAAUACAUCUUUCUAUCUUGAAUUUUCUUUUGUUCUUGUCCCAAUAAUCAUCUCCUCCUAAGGAUCACAGAUAUAUCCCUAACAGACCCAGGUCAAAAACCCAUUAGAUCCCUGUAUCAGAACACCUGACAGACCCCGCUCAAAGACCCAUUAGAUCAAAAGUGAGAUAGUGGAUGGAAACAAAUAAAACACAGUCACCAAUUUACAAGAUCAAAGGACACAGUGCAUACUCUACAAGUGUCCAGAUUCACCAUAGCUAUAGAAGUCUCAAGUUCAACCAUGCACAUUGCUGCCAUACCUACCCUCCACUUCCUUGAGGUCCACUUUGGUAGUUAUCCCAGACCAUGCCUUGAGCCAACUCAAGCAAUCACACCUUCUUAGGCGUUCUAAAUCCCUUACUACCCAACAAUGGCAAAACCAAAAGACAUAUCUCUCUAGCCCCACUCUCUCAGCUUGACGUAGGUUGUUACAGAAUUACAUUGUUAUUGUCUUGUAUUUUAUUUCAAUUAGCUAUUAAGUUUUGCCUGGGUAAUCUUUUUUUUUUUUUUUUACUUUGGUGGAAAGGAAACUAAUAUAAUUAGUUUCUAUUUCCCUAAGACAGUGGACUCCCUUGUGUACACAAUAGACAAUACACAUUGUUGGGCAAUCAACAAAAUAAAGGCAAGCCGGUGCUAUUUCUCAAAAGUCCAGUAACUGUUGAUAGUUUUUCAAUAAUAUGAGAGGUGAUUGAUGUACGUAAAAGAGAACAAAAGGUAUUCAUACUACAUCAAACAUCCUCCUCGUAUAUCUUAUAGGAGGAUGCAUCUCUUAAACCACCGGACUGCCUUUGGUAAUGGGAACUCCAAUGAGCAUUCAAGGUCCUAUUAAGAGCGGGAGUUAUUAUUUAACAUCCCAAAUCCUGGCUCCCAUGUUCGUUCAAAAUAACUUUGAGCUACUAAGAAUUGUUUUCCCUCAAGAUAGAAAGGAUGUAUUGGCACAGAUCUCAAGAACAAGGUAACCCAUUACAAGACUUUAUUGGCAGAGCCGCAGAUGCAACUUCAUAACCAAAAUUUGUUAGGUAUAAGUAUAACAAAUCAGGUUUAUUUGGUCAAUUUGAUUCUGUUCUUGUAAGCUUAGCAAUCCAUUUGGAUGGGUUUUUAGUCAAUCAAGCAGAAAUUUUGGUCUUCCAAUAAAUCAGUUUCAACGUCAUUUUUCUAAAUCGAUACACUUGCUGGCUGUUAAGCCUAAACUUUUACUAUAAUAGGAGUCGCAUCUACCAGCACCCUGUAAACAUUAUCUCUCCUAAAACCUCUUGCAUACCACAGCAACAAGCCAUCCUCCUCUAGUUUACUAAACAAAAUUCAUAAACCUCCUUCUUUACCCAACUCUUUUCAAAGAAGUCCCUACCAAUUCCUUUCCAAGUACUUUGAAAACUCUACCCGAUGUCAUAAACAUAAACAAAGAUAAUAUGUGUGAAGUAUUAAAUAAAGCUGCCUUGGCCAGAGGUCAUGACUACCUUUUAAGAAGAGCAUUUUUAUUCAUUGCUAAAGUAGUUUGAUUACCACAUGAGUUAUUUAUUUAUUUCGAAAGGAUUUGAUUGCCACUUCAUGAAUUACAAAUUCUCAGAAUUACCUCCUAAUGGCCAUUGGCCAUCCUAGGUAUUUCAUAUAUCAAUCAUCUAAGUCACAAUUAUACACGCAGGCUUUUGUUGAUGACAGUCUUAAGUUCUUAACAGUACCCAUCAAUAAUCUAUAUACUACCUAUCACUGUAAUUAAUGAUAUGCACUGAAUGAAAAGUUGAAACAUUUAAAUGGUAGAAGUGCAGUAAAUAAAAAGAAUAUGAAACAUUUCAUACCACAAGUGUGACGUGUAUCCUCCGAGAGACCCACCAGCAGCCGCCUGACCCGAUUCAGAAACCGUCUUACCGAGCAUUGUGCUUGAGUAAAUGUGCGGCAACCCCUUCAACGAUGACGAACCAGGCCCAUAAGAGCCUAGCAAUGACGAACCACCAGCACUUAAUUGGCUUAAGCCAUACGACCCCCCACUGUAACCACUCAAGCCAAUCCCAGCCCCAACUGAACUACCAACCAAACCCACUUGACUCAUGGGAACUACUCCCUGGUUCAACAUACCACCUCCCAAAGCUGGACUCCCAUAUCCACCAUACACCGGAUGAUUAAGGCCCGGAUGUUGAGCAAACAAUUGCAAAUUAGGAGCUGCGGCCAUUGCCGCCAUAACCGGCGUCUGAUUCUGCCCUAAGCUUUCCGCUGCCUGUGUGGAAUUUUGAUUCUUGUUCUUCCCUCAGACGCCCUCUGGCAGUGCAAUUUGUUCCCUUCAAACACUUUGUGUGGUUCCUCAAGAGCCUUCCUCGCACCUUCAUUCGUUCUAUAAAUAAAAAUGGCAUAACCCCUCGAUUUCCCUGUCUCGGGAUCGAACCCAAUCGGACCCAUCUCUAAGUCUCCAAAUUUCGCAAAGAACGCCCUAAGCCUCUCAGCAUCCACAUUAUGGUGCACAUUAGCCACAUAAAUCUUCCGCGGCCCAACCUCCUGGCUUUGCGGGGGCGGCACUGAACCCACAGAAGCCAAUUGACACGAAGUCAUCCGGUUAUUAAUCUUCUUCCUAGGUUCCUUCAACGCCUUAAUUGCACCUUGCCGGGAUUUGAACAAAAAUAAACCCAUAUCCCUUAGCCUUACCUGUGUUUCUGUCCAUAACCACAUUGCAAUCUUCAAUUUCACCAAAAGAUUCAAAAACCGAAGUUAGGGUUUCUCGGGUGGUGUCCCAACCGAGGCCAUGGACAAAUAUCUUGCGGUGAGUAACAUCGCGGUCGGCAGCAGCUCGAAUUUGGGCUUGAAGAUUUGGGUCUUUGAGAGCGGUGGUGCAAAUGAGCUCAAUUAAUUGGUCUUGGAGAAGGGUUCGAGGAGUUUGGGAAGAUCGUCGAAAUCGGAGUCGGAGACGUCGUCGACUGGUUGAGACUGAACGUUAUGUUCAAGCUCUUUCUUGAGUUUCUUAUCGACCUUGUUUUCAGAUUUCUUGACCAGCUUUCUUUUGGCGGUUUUGUUGGUUCCCUCCAUUGGAGAGCUACUGAGCCGGCGGCUUCAAAAGAAGAAGAAGAGGAGGAAGACGAAACAAGGUUUCGGCGGACUGCCCCGAGUCUAAAGCAAAUUUUAAUAUUAAUAUUAUUAUUUUGUUCUUUUUUUGAGAAAAUCAAUUAAUAUAUAAUAAAAUAGAGAAAUUGUUGUCAUUAAUUUAAGGGGUUUUUUCUUCUUCUUCUUCUUUUUUUUUUUUUUUUGUUAAAGAAUAACUUUAUGCUAAAUUACAAAUUUGGUUAAGCUUUGUAUAUUUAUAUGGUAGUAGUUUUCUUUUCCAUAAAUAUUAAUAGGUGUUGAUAUAUAGUUGAUAUUUGGUAUCAACUUAUUCUUUCUAAUAUAAUCAUUUUUACAACCUACAAAAUAGAAAAAAUAGCCUCCAUAUUAUGUUUGGUCAUCGACACUUUGACAAUCCAUAUGGUAGAAAGGACAUACUAGAAAUCUUGUUAAGGUAGAAAAGACGAGAAGACAACUUUACCAUUGUGCUAACUAAUGUUAUUAGUAUUAUAUGUAUCUAAAGAGUAUGAAGUUGUGUGUGUAUAUAUAUAAAGAGCAUAUAUUAUACGGCUAGAUGGUUGAUCUUGUGGAUCAAUCACCAUAUUUGGUCAAAUAAGUCUAUGGCUAAAUGUGGGUCUGUCUCCAUUCCUAGUCAAACAAGUAUUCAGUUAUUCUUUCACAAUACUAAGUUUUUAAUAUUUUUUAUUUAAUCAAUUUACUUAAAAAUUUAGAGGGAGAGAUUUUCCUCUUUUCCAUUGUCAUGGAAGGGGUAGAGAGGGAAGAGAAAAAAUAAAAGGGAUGAAAAAAAACGAAGGAAAGCAUUAUUCAUCUUUCUUUCUCCUACUUGGAUGGUUGUUUUGUUAGAAUUUUGAUAUAUAUGUUGAGCUUUUGAUUCUUACUUAACUCUAAUAUCUAAUUUGUAGAUAUCAAUCAAGUAUAGCUCUUUGUAAGUAUGUCUUGCUUUAGGAUCGGGUCGAAUAGUAAUAGUUUAAACACACUUUCAUAUUAAUUUUGAUACUAAAACAAGGAAAAUUUACCCAACGCGGGAGAAAUAAUACUUUGAUAGUUAUAUGUUCAAGUUUAUCUCUUAUUUUAUGGUACAUGAUUUUGCACUGACUAAACUAAAAUAUUCUUUAAGUAGGAAGGAAAGUUACCAACUAAAGAUUCGUAUGACUGUCACCACAGUAUUAAAUAACCUCGUGAAUUCUCUUGAAUCUCUUGAACACAUUUUCUACUUGUAUAACUUAGCGUGGAAGUUUAAUGAAAUUCAUCUUUACAUUAUUAUUGGAAGGGAUGGUCUUAGAAGUUCAAAAUUUAAUAAAGUUUUUUCAAUAUAAUUCAUGUAAAGGUAAAGGUUAGAAUUUGAGAUCUCAACAAAGAUGGUGCAUAAUGUUAUGCUAUUUUUUUUUUGACAAUUAAACUAAGAUUAGUAAAACAUAAGUUAUAAUAGUUAUUACUGUCGAACACAACUCUAGCUAACCUAAUUGUUUAGGAUGAAAAUUUCUGCCCAACAUUCUGUAUUAUAUAUCAACUAAUUAACUAUAGCCAUAUAUUUUUAAUAGUUUUCAUUCUAUAUAUAAACAAUAUCAUGUCACCUACUACAUAGUUUUUAGUGCUACUGCUUAAUAAGGUGUGUCAUUAGUUUUGUUUUUGCAAAAUCUUUCUUUUAACCAUUGUCAUCAUUUGAUUUAUGUAAUAUUCUAACUUUAUUCUAAACAUGGAUAAGAGUUGGAUAUGAUUUAAGCGAAAUAGAUAAAUUUUAUAAAAAUAAUUUGUAAGCAACUAAAUUUAUGUUGAUAUCAAACUCUCAUAAGAGAUUUCCAUAUAUUAAGAAUUGAUUUUCGAUGUUUGAUUUCAAAAAUUAAUUAAUUUAAAAUUAUUUAAUAAGUGGUUUUCUAUUUGAGAAAUAAUUAUAAAAAAAUUUCUCAAAUGAGUGUGUAAAAAAAUUAAAUAACCAUUUUAGAAUGAUUUCCAAUCAAAUUACUAAAUAAAAAUUACAUAUCAUCUCAUUUCUCUAACAUCCAUUUGAAAUUAUUUUAUAUUUUUCUAAAAUCAAUAAACAAACCCUAAAUACCUCUAAAUUUUACGGUUCAAUUUUUAAUUGACUAUGUUGAAGAAAAUGUUUGAAAUUUGAAAUUAUUUCAAAACAUACCAUUAAAUUUUUUUCCUUUACUAAAAUGAAUUAUAAUAUUUAUAAAUUAAUUUCAAACUAUCUAGAGAAUUAAAUUGUUGUUAAAAGAUAUCAUAUCAUGACAUAAAAAAAAGUCUACAUCCCAAAAUCUUUAGUUCUUUCAUUUGUUCAAUCUCUUUUUCAAUGAAAAUGUCGACUCAAAAUAUCAAAAUUUUAAAAGUAUUUGAUCGAUUUAGUGAUAAUUAAUUCAACUAUGUUGGCUUUUGCUAUAUGUAUAGUAAUAUGUAUAUAUAUAAACACUGUGUACGGAUGAAAAUAUAUUCCCGUGAAUUUACUUUGGAUAAGUUCCAUUUGUUUUCUUCUGCACUUUGAAUAUAUUCGGUAUCUACCAAUUACCAUCCAAAUUCUCCUUUCCUUUCUCUAUAAUUAAAAUAGAAAAAUAAAAACAAACCUUUCACUUUUUGUAAAUAAAAUUUUCCAAACCAAUCAUUCAUAAACUCAAACUUUCUUACUCUUUCUCUUAUCUUCUAUCCUUUUGCAACAAAAAAAAAAAAAAAAAAAAACUAUGAAAAUCUGCUUCUUCUUCCUUCAACUCACUCUCAUCAUUGCUACAAUUUUCGCAUCCAAACCAACUUAUGACUUCUCCAGUACCAUCUUCGACACCGGAGGGCUCAGUCGAGCUGCAUUUCCAGAAGGUUUCGUCUUUGGAACUGCAACUUCUGCAUACCAAGUAGAAGGAAUGGCUGACAAGGAUGGCCGAGGCCAAAGCAUUUGGGAUCCUUUCGUUAAACUCCCCGGUACUCAUAUCUUUCCAUUACUUUUGAGUUCUGAUUUAGUUAAAAAUGAACUAAAUAUCAUCAGAUCUUCUUAUUUUUUUCCGAUGUGAGAGAUUCUCAUGGCAUAAUAAAUAUAAUUGCUUGAGUUAUUUUUCCUUGUUUUUUUUGAAAUGGUUGUGAGUAGGAAAAAUUGUUGACAAUGCUACUGGAGAUGUAGCUGUGGAUCAAUAUCAUCGAUACAAGGUAUACGUGAAUCAUGUCAUCAUAUUUAAUUGAUAUUAAGAAGUUUGAAUAUCCAUAUAUAUCUGGUUAAUGAUUUUUCUUUUUAAUCUUAACAAAAUUGUUUUUAAAUUUCUAAUUUUAUGUUUUUAAUUUAAUUUCUUUGUCCGUUUGGAAUAGGAAGACAUUGAUAACAUGAAAAAGCUGAACUUCGAUGCUUAUCGAUUCUCGAUUUCUUGGCCGAGGAUAUUUCCAAGUAUUUAAAAUUUUCUCUUUAUACAAUAUUUUUAUCUUUUGAAUGGCAAAAAUCAUUACCUGCAGCUACAUAAUUAUAAUUAAUAAUAAUCUGUUUUAUUUCAUUUUUGCUUCUUUGUUUUUCAAUAGAUGGAACAGGAGAAGUAAAUUGGAAAGGGGUUGCUUACUAUAAUAGAUUGAUUGACUACAUGAUUCAACAAGGUAAAAUAUUAUAUGUUACACCCAUUCAUUUUAUUUGAUUUCAAUUUUAGUAUAAAAAAAAUUCAAAUUAUAGCCUAUUUAAUUAAUAUCUAUUUUAUUUUUCGGUAUAAAAAAUGAAGCCGAAUUUAUUUAAAAUUUUACGACGUAUAAUUUUCAAAUCAGAAAACAAAAUGAUAAAUUAGUUAUUAUUUACUUACUUAAAUAAUUAGACUAUUUCUUUGUUAGGAUAUAAUGUUGUUAUUUUGGACAUAGACUCUAGUCAUUUUAUUUUUAAUUUUAUUUGAAAGACUUGUCUAGCGAAAAUGAUAAUAUAUUUAAGUAAUCGAGUUUUUUAAAGUAUUUUAUGGUUUAAUAAGACGAUCAUUACGUCGUAAUUGUAAUUGACUCUUUAUUAUUUACGACUUCUUUUAGUAAUUAUUUCAUCGAUUUAAUUAGUUUGUUUUUUAAUUGAACUUAUUUUCUCUUUAUUUAUUAAAUUUUUAGUUAAAUUUUAAAUGUCAAACAACUAUUUGUUUAAAUUUCAAAAACUCAAUAUAAUAAAAUUUUAAUGAUUAUAAUUCUAUGUGUGUGUUUCCUUUUCAUUGCAACGUGAAGGAAUCACACCCUAUGCAAAUCUUUACCACUACGAUCUUCCCUUGGCAUUACAAGAAAGAUAUAGAGGUUUACUAGACAAGCAAAUUGUGUAAGUUUGAUCAAACUUAUGUGUAUAACUUAUAUUUUCAUACCUACAUUGGGUUAUGAUUGCAAUUAUUUUCAACAUAUAUAUGUGCAUGCAGGAUCGAUUUUACAAAUUAUGCAGAAUUUUGUUUUGAAGAAUUUGGAGAUAGAGUGAAGAAUUGGAUGACAUUUAACGAACCGAGAGUUAUAGCUGAUGUUGGGUUCAAUAGCGGAAUAAUGCCUCCUUCAAGAUGUUCAAAAGAAUAUGGAAAUUGUACAGAUGGGAAUUCAGGAACUGAACCUUACAUUGUGGCUCAUAAUAUAAUUCUUUCCCAUGCUAAUGUGGUUGAUACAUAUAGGAAGAAAUUUCAAGUAAGUAAAGAUGCUUUUUUUUUCUAAUUAUUUAUUAAGUUUUGUUUUUAUUUUUGUGAAUAAUAUUUUUAUUAAUAUAUAGACUUGUAAUUUCUAUAGGAAAAACAAGGAGGAAGAGUUGGGAUUUUGUUGGAUUUUACAUAUUAUGAACCUCUCACUAAUGAGAAAGAAGACAGAGAUGCAGCUCAAAGAGCAAGAGAUUUUCAUAUUGGCUGGUAAAAAUUAAUAUAUUAAUCCAAUUUGUGAUUUGUUUUGUGUUCAAGUUUAAUUUUUAUGUUAAAUUGGAUCAUUAAAUAUAUAAUAUCAAUUUUCACCAACCUAUACAUAUAUGUAUAUGUUGAAAUUAGGUUCUUGCAUCCAUUUACAUAUGGUGAAUAUCCAAGAAGAAUGCAAGAAAUAGUAAAAGAAAGGUUACCAAAAUUCAGUGAAGAAGAGGUAAAAAAGGUGAAAGGGUCAGUAGAUUUUGUGGGUAUCAAUCAAUAUACAACUUUCUAUAUGUUCAACCCUACUUGGCCAAAACCAACCACUCCUGGCUAUCAAUCUGAUUGGCAUGUUGGCUAUGCUUGUAAGACUCUACUACACCAUUGUUAUUAUUAUAAUUAUUUAAUCAUCUUCUUCACUUCAAUUAUUUCUAUAUUCUAAUGCUACUUUUUUCUUAUAAUUUUGUUCCCACAGAUGAAAAGAAUGGAAAACCAAUUGGUCAACGAGUACGUAAUUAAUCUUUAACAUCGAUUGAGCGAUGUUCGCUUUUAACUACUAAAUAUAACUUUUGAUUGGUCUCAGGCUCAUACCGGAUGGUUGUAUGAAGUACCAUGGGGAAUGUACAAAGCUUUGAUGUAUGUGAAGCAACACUAUCGAAAUCCAAACGUUAUAGUUUCAGAAAAUGGUAAUUCACUCUCAAUUUCUGUUUAUUUGUUUUUGAUCAGUUUUAGUCAUGAGGUUAUAUUUAUUACUAAUUCCUUUUUUCAUAAGAAAAAAACUGUACAGAAUAUUCCCUUUUAUAAUUAUUUUUCUAAAAAUGUAUAUGAUUUGUAUAGAUUUUCAAAUCAUUAUCCCUACAAGAAUAUGGUAUCUUUGAAAUAAUCGUAAUCAAAAUUUGAAAACAAAAUAUAGGAAUUUUGAAAACUCAUUCAGCAUUUUUUUCUCACAUGAUAUUUGAUAAUUGGGUUUGCACUAGAAGUCGUCGUUAUACGUACAUAUGUUGGCAAGUAGCUGGUAGCAGGUAUUUUGUAACAGUUAAACGUUUAAUUCUAUUUUAAAUGCAAUGAUAGGAAUGGACACUUCUGAUAUCCCACUUCCUGAAGGGUUAAAUGAUAGAGAAAGAAUAAAUUACUACAAGACAUAUUUGCAAAACAUGAAGAAAGCCAUUGAUGAUGGAGCUAAUGUGAGUGGAUAUUUUGCAUGGUCUUUGCUUGAUAACUUUGAAUGGCUAUCAGGUUAUACUUCAAGGUUUGGUAUCAUAUAUGUUGAUUACAAACACAAUCUCAACAGAAUUCCUAAGAUGUCAGCCUAUUGGUUCAAACAAAUGAUUAGUAAGAACUAGGAGUAUAAUUAAACCUAGCUCAAGUAAUAUUUUAAAUGCUAUUGGUAACUAUAUAUAUAUAUAUUAUUCUCUUCCUUUCUUAUAUUUAUAAGAAAAUAAAUGAUUGACGAACAAAACAUAUUAGUGGAUCAUCUUUUACCAAAUUUUGAAAUUGAAUGAUAAUUGAUAUUUUAUGAAUCGAAUUAUGCUUAUAUUCUCGAGACUCUUUAAAUCUCUUUUUUUAAUUUCACUAAGAUAAAUACUUUUAUCUUAUAUAUAUAUGCAAAUUUUUUUCAUGAUAGUCUCUACUUAAUUUUGUUUUUUUAUACAUGUGUGUAUAUGUACAUAGAGGAAAAAUUGAAGUUGAUGUUAGGACAUCUUUUACAUGUCAAUUUUGAACAACUGUGUUCAAUAUUUUGUCAGGCAUUAAAUUAUUUGUGGUCAUUUGUAUCUUUUUACUUAUGUAAUAUUUUAUUUUAAAGUAAUAUUAAUUAAAGCGAACUCAACUAAGAAGUUUAUAGUUAAAUUCUUCUACCGUACCAAAUUUAAAAAAGAAAAUAGUAUUCACCUUUUAAAUGAUUUUAGAAAUAUUAUCAUGGUCUGAUUCUUUUCCCUUUAAAAGUUGUAACUUAAUUUGGAUAUAGUUUCAAUUAGUUCCUCUUUACAAGUUUCAAAUUUACUAGUUGUGGUUUGAAUAUUUAGUUUAAAUUAGGCGUGAUAGUUGGCUUAGUUUUCUUUAUCUUGUAUAUAUCUAGUCAAGAAUCAAUAAAUAAAUUUUUCAAAAUGACUGUAAUCUGUUUGAUUUAAAAGUUUUAUAUAGGUUAAUUAGCUCAAUAAGUAUGCAAUUAUGAUGGCACAUAUCUAUAACCUCGUACAAAAUAUGGAGGAAAGUUCACGAACCCUAGGUCAAUUGACAUAUACUCAAGUCAUUAUGACUUUAAGAAAAAAAAAAAGAAUUAGUCAUUUAUGAUUCUAAAAAAAAACUCAUACUAAACUUACAUCUUAAAGCCUUUAACGAACUUAGGCACAAAUACUCGUCUAGUACUAGCCCAUUCUCUUUUGUGCGUCAUAUUUAAAUUGAAACUAAACUUAAAUAUUUAGAUCGAACUCAAAAGAUUCUAAUUUGUAAUUUAGUCGCGACAACAUUCUUGUUAAAAAAUGAUGACUAGCUAACCAAAUUAAACUGCACCUCUAUUAUCUAUUAUAUCUUAGUCACAAUGAAAUUAAUUAAGUACAAUAAUAUUAUCAAUUGGUCAAUAAAGGGGACUAAUCCAACUUGGAUCCCAACAACAACAACGUGGCUGAUAGUUAAGGAGAUAAGACCCUUCUAUUGGUAUGAUAUCAUGGGUGUGUUCUUAAUCAAUUAAUUAAACCCUUAAUUAGAAAAAAUUGAAACAGUUACAAUGUCCAACUAGGCAGCUUCCAUUUCAAUAAACCACAUCUGACGUGCCAUCAUUUGUGGUUACUAAUUAAUAGUUAUGCCACUUAGAAAAAGCCUAAGCCACUUAGAUUAUUAAUUAUGAUUAUAAUUAUUAAUUUCAUUUUCAUUGAGUCUAUGUGUGGUUCUUCCACUUUAAUGACCUGAAAAAUGCCUUUUUCUCCUAAGCACUAUUAUUCAUUCUCAUUCGUGGUUUCAUUAAUAAAAAUCAUCUCUAAUAUAAUCUAAUCAUUCACAUUAAGUAGUAAUAAUAAUAAUAUACCAAAAACAUGGGCUUUCAUUCUUCACCAACUCUCUUAAGAGUGUGGCAUGCUUAGUGUUGUUGUACUUUGGGUUUUAUAUAUUUUAAUUCAAUUUGUUGGUAAAUAGUUGGAAUUAGUCGGUUUCCUAUGAAAUCAUCACCAAAAGGAUGUUUGGCUAUUAGUUUUGAUGCAUAUACAUCUAUCUUUUUUGUCAACUUUUGGAGUUUUUUUUUCCUCUUUGACAAUGUGGGUAAAGAAAAUCGAACAUAUGAUAUCGAGAUUGAUAGUAAAUAUUUUAUGUUGGGUUGAGUUAUACUCGUUUUGGUAUAAAUAAUAAAAUAAGCACACAAAGAUGUCUAAAUUUAAAGUUGAGAAGUUGGAGCUUGUUAUUAUCAAUCUCAUGGUUUAAAGGGUUAGUAGAGAUAGUAUAACGGAACGGUUUUAUGAGAAAAAAUUCAUAUAGUGACUUAAUCAAGCUUAAAUAAACAAAACCACAUCCAAAAAUGUUAAGAACUUGACAAUCAAAGAUAAAUAAAAAAUAAAAAGCGAACAUAAACAAUAGAGAAUAAUCAACACAAAGAUUUAACAUAUAGUUCACCAACAGUGUGUUAGCUACAUUCACGUGUAAAGGAAGAGUACAAACUUUAUUAGCAAGAAAAUAUCAUACUAUAGAUUCAAUUGUUGUUAGAGAGUUUAAUAUUGUGCACUGUUCAAAGCCUUAUAGAGCCAAAAUAAAAUAACAUGAAUACAAAUACAACUUAAUAUAUUUGUUUCAUCGCCCAUGUACUCUAGUUGAUAUUGAUGUACUAGGUGACAAGACCGUUAUAUUUUGGUCAUACAUUCAGAACGUCAAAUAAUAAAUUCAAAGCAUUCCAACACAAAACAUUAAUACAAGCUCGGAUUUCUAAUUUUGGGUUUUCAGAAACCCUACUUCAUGGUUAAAAUAACAUAUUAUUAAAACUCAAACUAAAAUAAUCUACGCUCCACGCACAAAAUCAUUAUAACUCAACUAUAAUAACCAAUUAUUGCCUCAAACGCUUCUUUAUUUAGAGGGUGAAAAAGAUUUUUGUUUAAUUUCCUCACCAAUUUGGCUUAGCAUUAUUUUAUUCUUAACAUAUAUGAAUAUGUGUCUAAUAACUAUAUGGGAGUUGUAACCGUACACCAUUUUAGACAUACCGUAUCAUGACUCUUUGGAUGACACCUCAAAUCUUGAUCUAAAAGCAUAGAAUGAUUCAUAAAAAAGGAUACACAUUCAUAUAUCAUAACGCACCAAAUCUCAUCAAAACUUUACAGUUAAGCAUACUCGAACGAUAUAGUACUAAAUUUGGUGAUCACUUGGAAAGUCUUCGUUUUCACCUAUUUAGAGAAAUAAUGUUCAAGAAAGUCACCUCAAGGCAAUAAAAGAAGCUUAAUAUCUUUGAUUUCAAAUAUAUCAUCCCAUCAUUUUAAGCACUUUGAGUUUAGCAUAUGUUAGCUACAACCGAUAUAACGAGUUCUUAUACUUAGAGUUGGAGAGAGAAUUUUUUAUGUGGUUGUAAUAAUUUUUGACAAAGUAUAUUUUUUUUAUUUCUCACUUUAAUUUUUGCAUAAUCGUGUGAUAGUAGUAAGUGGUUUUAUUCCAAUAGAAAGUGAGUAAAAAAUGAGCAUUGGUUUGAUUGGGAAGGAACCCUUAGGUUCAACUUAAUUUCUAAUGUAAUUUAGUUAUAUUAUUGGUUGAUAAAAAAAUUUAUAUUAGUUAUAAAAAGUAGCUCCUUCUUUUAUGACAAUGACAGUUGAAUUUGAUUAAUUAUUAAUUAAGAGAAAACAUAUUGGGUUUGGAGCAUAUGAGAUUUAAUUAAUUUAUUAAAAGCUUUGCAGCCCUAACCAAAGCCAUGCAUGGCUUAUAAAUACUACCAAUUUCAAAGCUUCUAAAUACACCAAAACAAAAACUAACUUCCAACACAAGAAAAACCCAAAAUAAUAAUUCCAAUAUCUUCUUCCUUCUUCCUUCUUCCUUCUUCCUUCUUCCUUCUUCCUCGAUCUUCUUUAUAGGCCUCCUUCUUUCUCUAUAUUCUCAAAAUCAUGUCAUCCCUUGGAGCUUCCUAUGCCAAAAUCCACCUCCUACAGAAGCAACAAAAGGAGAAACUUGAGAGAAUGGAACCAAAUCGAUUCUCCCGAGGAGAGACCGCCACCGCCACGGGUUCCUCUAGUGGUGGUUCUUUGCUUGCAAGGAAUAAAAAAGUUCACCCGGGAAGCAUUGCUCCGACGACCACAGUCGACAGCUACAAAAAUAGAACAUGAUCAAGUUAUAUAUUUGACUUUAUGCUUCCCGGCCCUUCUUGAUCAUGACCUGUUUUCCUUCUUUUAGUGUCUAUAAAAUCGAAAAGCUUUUGUUUGUGUAAAUGUGUUUAAAAAUGUCUGUCCAAAGGCCAAAAGAAAAAGAAGAGGAAGAAGAAGAAGAAUAGUAUAAGUGUGUCUUUUGGUCUGAUCUACUCUUUUCAUGUUCUCUAGUCUGUACUUUUCCAAUGUUUUGCUGUUAAUUAAUUAAGGAUGUAAUUGUGUCUUAAUGCUUUAUAAGGUAAAGUAUAACACUUUAGUUUUUAUUAUACAUAUAUAUAUAGUAAUUUUCUCCUUUGACGUCAUGAUAGCUAUAGAAAAGUAUUUGGACAAUAUACAUCUCACAACUAUAUCUAUUCAUCUCAAAAUGAACAAAGUGAAGAAAAAAUUCAAAACAAUUAAUUAUUUUAUGUAGAGAUGUGAAGAAAUAAAAUAACUAUAUACAUUUGUAAUUUGUAACCUGUUACAUUAACAUUUGAAAAUGAAGAUGAAGUAAGUUGUAACUAAAACAUGUGAAUAGAGGAUAUGUGAGGGUUUGGACCUAUCAUUUUCAAUAUUGAUUUCAUAAGAAAGGAGAUUCAUAUCAUCCUCAUUAGAGGGAGGUAUGAUAGAGACAUGAG
rnacentral:lncRNA from 1 species